rnacentral:tRNA from 1 species
GCACGGAUGGCCGAGUGGUCUAAGGCGCCAGACUCAAGUGCGAGCUUCCCAUGCGUUAAAUGGUUGAGAGUUCUGGUACCCGUAUGGGUGCGUGGGUUCGAACCCCACUCCGUGCA